rnacentral:rRNA from 1 species
UACGGCCGCAAGGCUAAAACUCAAUAGCUAACGCAUUAAGUGCCCCCGCCUGGGGAGUACGGCCGCAAGGCUAAAACUCAAAGGAAUUGACGGGGGCCCGCACAAGCGGCGGAGCAUGCGGAUUAAUUCGAUGCAACGCGAAGAACCUUACCAAGGCUUGACAUGAACCGGAAAAGCGUAGAAAUACGCUCCCCACUUGUGGCCGGUUUACAGGUGGUGCAUGGUUGUCGUCAGCUCGUGUCGUGAGAUGUUGGGUUAAGUCCCGCAACGAGCGCAACCCUCGUUCUAUGUUGCCAGCGGGUUAUGCCGGGGACUCAUAGGAGACUGCCGGGGUCAACUCGGAGGAAGGUGGGGACGACGUCAAAUCAUCAUGCCCCUUAUGUCUUGGGCUUCACGCAUGCUACAAUGGCCGGUACAAAGGGUUGCGAUACUGUGAGGUGGAGCUAAUCCCAAAAAGCCGGUCUCAGUUCGGAUUGAGGUCUGCAACUCGACCUCAUGAAGUUGGAGUCGCUAGUAAUCGCAGAUCAGCAACGCUGCGGUGAAUACGUUCCCGGGCCUUGUACACACCGCCCGUCAAGUCACGAAAGUUGGUAACACCCGAAGCCGGUGGCCUAACCCCUUGUGGGAGGGAGCCGUCGAAGGUGGGACCGGCGAUUGGGACUAAGUCGUAACAAGUAGCCCAU